UUGCAUUUCUUUUGAAAAAUAAACAUGCUAUGAUGCACAUGAUGCAGACACGACUGGCAAGCUGUGCAUCUCUGAACACAGGAUCAAAACUUCGGCUCGAACUCUGAUCACAACCAUCUGAAACCCAAAGUCAACUGGUCAACUGUCAUCUGAACCCAAUCUGAGAAACUGAGUCACCAACAGGAACACACUGAGUCAGCAACUAGUCACCAAC
rnacentral:lncRNA from 1 species